CGACGGGUGAGUAAUACAUCGGAACGUGUCUUCUAGUGGGGGAUAACUGCCCGAAAGGGCAGCUAAUACCGCAUGAGACCUGAGGGUGAAAGCGGGGGAUCGCAAAACCUCGCGCUGGAAGAGCGGCCGAUGUCCGAUUAGCUAGUUGGUGAGGUAAAGGCUCACCAAGGCGACGAUCGGUAGCUGGUCUGAGAGGACGACCAGCCACACUGGGACUGAGACACGGCCCAG
rnacentral:rRNA from 1 species